ensembl:lncRNA
CAUGAAUUUUGGCGCAAAAAAACGCCACAGUAUACUAUGUCGAAAGAUGUCAUUUUUCAACAUGUUGUAAAAACAUUCCAUAUGAUAAAAUAAUGUAAAGCAGGCUGUGAAAAACACUCCAGAAAGGUUUUCUUUGAAAAAAAAUCAUCAUGAAUUUUGGCGCAAAAAAACGCCAUAGUAUACUAUGUCGAAAAAAAAUGUGAUUUUUUUAACAUGUUGUAAAAACAUGCCAUAUGAUGAAAUAAUUUAAAGGAGGCCAUGAAAAACACUAUGGUAAGGUUUUCUUUGAAAAAAAAAUCACCAUGAAUUUUGGCGCAAAAAAACGCCACAGUAUACUAUGUCGAAAAAAAAUGUCGUUUUUCAACAUGUUGUGAAAACGUGCCAUAUGAUGAAAUAAUGUAAAGCAGGCUGUGAAAAACACUCCAGAAAGGUUUUCUUUGGAAAAAAAAAAAUCAUGAAUUUUGGCGCAAAAAAACGCCAUAGUAUACUAUGUCGGAAAAAAAAAUGUGAUUUUUCAACAUGUUGUAAAAACGUGCCAUAUGAUGAAAUAAUGUAAAGGAGGCCAUGAAAAACACUAUGGUAAGGUUUUCUUUGAAAAAAAAAAUCAUGAAUUUUGGCGCAAAAAAACGCCACAGUAUACUGUCGAAAAAUGUCAUUUUUCAACAUGUUGUAAAAACAUUCCAUAUGAUAAAAUAAUGUAAAGCAGGCUGUGAAAAACACUCCAGAAAGGUUUUCUUUGAAAAAAAAAAUCAUCAUGAAUUUUGGCGCAAAAAAACGCCAUAGUAUACUAUGUCGAAAAAAAAUGUGAUUUUUUGAACAUGUUGUAAAAACAUGCCAUAUGAUGAAAUAAUUUAAAGGAGGCCAUGAAAAACACUAUGGUAAGGUUUUCUUUGAAAAAAAAAAUCACCAUGAAUUUUGGCGCAAAAAAACGUCACAGUAU